GGGAGUAUAGUAUAACUUGGCAGUACUACGGGCUCCAAACCCGUUGAUCGGGGUUCAAAUCCCUGUGCUCCCACCU
rnacentral:tRNA from 1 species